rnacentral:sRNA from 1 species
UUGCGUUAGGGAUAGUAGUGGCAUCCUUUUUUUGCUGCCAUAAAUGGCAAAAAAAGAUAUAACGGAUAGCGCGACCCUUA